UGCAAGUCAGAUGACGCUGGUGUGA
rnacentral:piRNA from 1 species